CAGAAGUUACAUAGGCCGAUAGGCUUAUAUUCAUUAACUGAGCAAGGAUUCAUAAUUUGGGAAUUAAGACUAUAUUAGUCUUGUUAAGCUCCUUAGACAUACACCCAUUCACAAAAAAAGAUUUUACGGCUGAAUAAACAUCUGGGCCUAACAUAUCCCAGUAUUUUUGGUAAAACAUCUUGGAGAAACCACAGCUUUUGAACCCCACAAUUCAAAAACUGCUUGUUUGAUUUAUGUAUCAGAGACACCAACAAAGAGAUGUUCAUUGAGAUCAGAAGUAACCACAGGAUUGAUAUAGCCCAACACUUCAUCCACAUUGGAUAACUGAACCUUACUAAACACAUGCUGAAAAUGUUGCAUAAUUUCUAGUUGAAUAUCUACUAGGUUCUCAAUCCAACACCCAUCAUGCUUUUUCAGCUUGAGAAUAGAAUUUUUAGCCCUCCUUUGAGUGGCAGACAUGUGGAAAAACCGGGAGUUUCUGUCACCAUUUUUCAACUUUCUCCCCAUAAAAAUUUUCUUUAUUCCACCUGCUCAGCUCUGAUCUACAAUGCUUCAAUUUUUGCAACAUUGAAAACGUAGGAGAGCCAUGAACGUAAUUAUGCCAAGCAAUUUUUAUCACUCCAGGACACUGCGGAUGCUGCGUCCACUUUUCUUCAAACUUGAACAAAAACACUGAUUUGUUUUGAGGAGGAUCUAAGCACAAGACAAUUGGUCGGUGGCCAGAGCCCAUCAUGUCUUCAUGGUAAACUACUG
rnacentral:misc_RNA from 1 species